rnacentral:rRNA from 1 species
AGCUUGCUCCCUGAGAUUAGCGGCGGACGGGUGAGUAACACGUGGGCAACCUGCCUAUAAGACUGGGAUAACUUCGGGAAACCGGAGCUAAUACCGGAUACGUUCUUUUCUCGCAUGAGAGAAGAUGGAAAGACGGUUUACGCUGUCACUUAUAGAUGGGCCCGCGGCGCAUUAGCUAGUUGGUGAGGUAAUGGCUCACCAAGGCGACGAUGCGUAGCCGACCUGAGAGGGUGAUCGGCCACACUGGGACUGAGACACGGCCCAGACUCCUACGGGAGGCAGCAGUAGGGAAUCUUCCGCAAUGGACGAAAGUCUGACGGAGCAACGCCGCGUGAACGAAGAAGGCCUUCGGGUCGUAAAGUUCUGUUGUUAGGGAAGAACAAGUACCAGAGUAACUGCUGGUACCUUGACGGUACCUAACCAGAAAGCCACGGCUAACUACGUGCCAGCAGCCGCGGUAAUACGUAGGUGGCAAGCGUUGUCCGGAAUUAUUGGGCGUAAAGCGCGCGCAGGUGGUUCCUUAAGUCUGAUGUGAAAGCCCACGGCUCAACCGUGGAGGGUCAUUGGAAACUGGGGAACUUGAGUGCAGAAGAGGAAAGUGGAAUUCCAAGUGUAGCGGU